CAGCAGCACGGUAACACUUAUGUCACAAGCGUUAUCCGGAUUUAUUGGGCGUAAAGCGCGUCUAGGCGGUUAAUUAAGUCUGAUGUGAAAAUGCGGAGCUCAACUCCGUAUUGCGUUGGAAACUGGUUAACUAGAGUACUGGAGAGGUAAGCGGAACUACAAGUGUAGAGGUGAAAUUCGUAGAUAUUUGUAGGAAUGCCGAUGGGGAAGCCAGCUUACUGGACAGAUACUGACGCUAAAGCGCGAAAGCGUGGGUAGCAAACAGGAUUAGAUACCCGAGUAGUCCCUGUCUCUUAUACAA
rnacentral:rRNA from 1 species